rnacentral:rRNA from 1 species
AUUGAACGCUGGCGGCAUGCCUUACACAUGCAAGUCGAACGGUAACAGGCCGCAAGGUGCUGACGAGUGGCGAACGGGUGAGUAAUGCAUCGGAACGUGCCCAGUCGUGGGGGAUAACGCAGCGAAAGCUGCGCUAAUACCGCAUACGAUCUAUGGAUGAAAGCGGGGGACCGUAAGGCCUCGCGCGAUUGGAGCGGCCGAUGUCAGAUUAGGUAGUUGGUGGGGUAAAGGCUCACCAAGCCAACGAUCUGUAGCUGGUCUGAGAGGACGACCAGCCACACUGGGACUGAGACACGGCCCAGACUCCUACGGGAGGCAGCAGUGGGGAAUUUUGGACAAUGGGCGCAAGCCUGAUCCAGCAAUGCCGCGUGCAGGAAGAAGGCCUUCGGGUUGUAAACUGCUUUUGUACGGAACGAAACGGUCCUGGUUAAUACCCGGGGCUAAUGACGGUACCGUAAGAAUAAGCACCGGCUAACUACGUGCCAGCAGCCGCAGUAAUAC